UACGAGGGGAGCAAGCGUUGUUCGGAUUUACUGGGCGUAAAGGGCGCGUAGGCGGCGUGACAAGUCACUUGUGAAAUCUCCGGGCUUAACUCGGAACGGUCAAGUGAUACUGUCGUGCUAGAGUACAGAAGGGGCAACUGGAAUUCUCGGUGUAGCGGUGAAAUGCGUAGAUAUCGAGAGGAACACCUGCGGCGAAGGCGGGUUGCUGGGCUGAUACUGACGCUGAGGCGCGAAAGCUAGGGGAGCGAACAGG
rnacentral:rRNA from 1 species